GACCUGUAUAUUAGAAAAGGAAGCCAUAUUUUUAAAUUGGAUUUUAGAAUUAUUAUUUAAUACAUUUAUAUUCCGCCAUUCCAUCAAAUAACCCUUAAAGAGGCUAAAAGUCAUUUUAAAACAUCAGCUUAAAACAAUCCAUAAGUACAUAAUACAACCAAAAUAGAAUAAACAGCAAAUCGGCAGAUAAAUCAUCCAAACAGUUUAAUCAAGUUUUGGCUGCCACAGAUUGUGAGCAGCAAAACUGGACCUUUCUGAGAUAAUUCUAUGGUGUAGGUACUACCAUCAGAAAAACCCUGUCAUAUACUGCCCCCAACCACAGAAAUAGUCGUAAGCAGGUUCAGAUGGAAUGAGGCAACUCUAUAUAAGCAUAUGUAUGAAACACCUUGUUUCCAAGACACAGAACUAAACAGAAAGGUUUAGUUGAAACAUAGGCGAUGAGAUUAGGAGAGGGCAAGGAAUAGAAGGAAAGGAAUAAGAAGCGUAUUUAGUGUGAGUGAGUGAAUGAGUCAGUGCAAAGAAGAACCUUUUAGAACUAAGAAUGAGGAUACAAUGGUUGGUUGGCACUAGCAGCUAAAGCAGCCUUUUGCUUAAUUACCAUAGUUCUAAAUAUGUGUAAAAAGAAGCAAUAUUUAACUGCCACAGAUUAGACAAGUGGCAACUUGCAAGUUUGACAAGGCAUCAGGAACGCUCCAACUAUAGAGCAUAAUUGAUAGCAUAACAAAAGCAGCCAUAAGCAAGCCAUGAGAACAUCUUGUUGACAAAACAGUCUCCUAUAGCUCAUUAAAAGGCUAUAUGGAAAAGUUUUAUUUCUUUCAUAUUAAAAUGUGGCUAGUAGUGGGUCUUAUGUCUGAAAGGCUGAACACUACUGCUCCUAAAUACUGAUCCUCUUAUUGCCAAAGUGAAAUAUCAGAAGUUGGAAUGGGCCAAAUUAGAAGUCUCAUAGUUAGGUAGAAUAGUGGAAAUUAAGAUGUGUGUUUUAUCAAAAUUUCUGUUUCUGAAUACAGUACAAUGUAUCAUAAAAUACACUGUACUGUAUUUGUCCAGAACUAUAAACAGUGAAGGACAGAAACAGUAUUGCAACAGGAAAGAAAGGUAGUUAGCCCUCCCAAAUAUAACCUGUAAAAUGUGGUUUCAUGAAUCCCCUAUGACUUUAAAGCCUUUAAGUCUCCCCUCACACCAUAGAGAAUAAUCUCUAUAAUAUACUAAGGAAGUACGUGGCAAGCCCCGACCACACAGUGUUUUACCAAUCAGAGGUAACAGAACAGAAUCACUGUGGUGAUUGGGCAGUGGGGAUUCCAUAUGCAGAUAGGGAGGAAGAGCUUGUGAUGGUUAAGGUCAGUUACUGGUCAGAAGAUGUGCUUGACUACAAAAAGUGGGGUCAUGAGGGAAGAAAGAGCCCCUUCAGGAGAAGGAGGCUGCCACUGUUGAGAAUUAGAUGAGGGAACAAGAUUUGUUAACUCAGGAAGGGAGAGAAAGAAAGAAAAAAGAAGGGAGGGGAAGAAAGAAGGGGGGGGGAGCGAGUAGAGGAGAAAGAAACAGAGAAAAAGAAAGAGCCUGUCAGUGGCCUGAGGGGAAUAAGCAGACAUGGCAGUGGUGGCAUCAAGGAAGGGCCCAGUCAACUGCUGCUGCUCCUCUUGCGGGGAGGAGCAGAAGCAGGGCUUGGAUGAGGGUGGGGAGGUCUCUGGAGGCUGCGGUUUGGCCAAUUGGUGCCAGCAACACAAAAACCAUGACCAAGAGGGGUAAGGAAGCAACAGGAUGGAGAACUGCAGGAUCGUGGCUCAAGUGAGGUGGAGAGAUGUCUGAGGCUGCAGAAGAGGGUGAAGCAAACAACAAAGCCCCUCCACUGGCCUGAGGAAGACCAACUGUCACCUAGCCCCUCACCGCUGUGAAGAUCCAAGUCCUCCUCUACUGUCAUAACUAUCAGUCUGUAGCAGAGGGUGAAGGAGAGCAGUAAGGACCCUCCAUGGGUCUGAGGAGGACAAAGUACCUUCUGGACCACCCCCUCUGACAACUCCUCCCCCCCCCCGCACAUUUUUUUCUCUUAAAUAAAAAAAGAUCGUGAUCCCCUU